rnacentral:misc_RNA from 1 species
GGAGCAACAAAACCCCAAAGAAGGAUUCGACGAUUAAUUAUAGGGGAAGAGAACAAAGAAGAAGAAGAAUCUCAUGGAUAGAAAGAAGAAGAUAAAAAGCGAAUGUGUUGAAGAAAAAGAAACAAACAAUAAUUCAGAAAUAUUUGCAUCUUGCUCUUUCUCCAGUCUCGGCCUCCACCCCACCCUAUGCAACGAGCUCCGAGAAAGAAUGGGCUUUGAAGCUCCAACACUGGUACAGGCUCAAGCUAUUCCAGUUGUUCUCUCUGGUCGCCAUGUGUAUCCUUUUUGCUCUACUUGUAAUCUGACAGAUUAAGUGUCUCAGUUUCUUUUAGUAACUUAUGCAGUUUUUAGCUUCUGGGUUCUUGCUAAUUGUUCUUCUAGCAUAGAUGCUUCCUUUGUUUCUCGUUAAUGUUGAAUAACUCAUAGACUUGUUAAUGCUGCUACUGGCACUGGAAAAACUGUGGCCUAUUUAGCCCCAAUUAUCCAUCAUUUGCAGAGUUGCAGUCCUAAAAUUGAACGCGCUCAAGGAACGUUUGCGUUGGUCCUUGUACCAACGCGGGAGUUGUGCAUACAGGUUUAUGAAAUUCUGCAAAAAUUAUUACACCGUUUUCAUUGGAUUGUUCCGGGUUAUGUGAUGGGUGGUGAAAACAGAUCAAAGGAGAAAGCCAGGCUACGCAAAGGUAUAUCUAUUCUUGUUGCAACUCCUGGGCGCCUUUUGGAUCACUUAAAAAAUACAUCAUCAUUUGUGCACACAAAUUUGCGAUGGAUAAUCUUUGAUGAAGCAGAUAGAAUUUUGGAAUUAGGAUUUGGCAAGGAAAUAGAGGAAAUACUGGAUCUUUUGGGCUCUAGGUUAACUGGGUCAGAUGGCAAGGAAAAUCAAGUUUCAAGCAUCACCAAUGUUCAGAGGCAAAAUCUGCUAUUAUCAGCUACCUUAAAUGAAAAAGUAAAUCAUCUUGCUAAAAUUAGUUUACAAAAUCCAACUAUGAUCGGUCUUGAUGACAAGAAGAUGCAGCCAGAUCCAUUACUUGAACAUGCUGAAUCUAUAGAAUCUGAUACGGAUGAUGAACUUGAACAUCCCAGGAAAGUAACAAAAUCUUCAACUGGAGAUUAUAAACUUCCAAUUCAGUUGGUUCAGAAAUAUGUGAAAGUGCCCUGUGGUUCACGGCUUGCUGUACUUCUUUUCAUUCUAAAGCAUCUUUUUGAGAAACAAGCUUCCCAAAAGAUUGUGGUGUUCUUUUCAACAUGUGAUGCAGUAGAUUUUCACUAUUCGUUGUUGAGUGAAUUUCACUUGUCGGCCAAUUCACAAUCAGAUGCAGAGGUUACACAGAUGUUCUUGAGAUGCAAAACUUUUCAGUUGCAUGGGAAUAUGAAGCAGGAAGAUCGGAGAAACACUUUCCGAGCCUUCAAAACUGAGAAAUUAGCUCUUCUUUUGUCCACAGAUGUUGCUGCUAGAGGCUUGGAUUUUCCAAAAGUUAAAUGCAUUAUACAAUAUGACUCUCCAGGAGAGGCUACUGAAUAUGUUCACAGGGUUGGUAGGACUGCUCGUUUGGGUGAAAAGGGGGAUUCCUUGCUAUUUCUACAACCAGUUGAAGUGGAUUAUAUAGAAGAUUUGGAGAAACAUGGAGUGUCACUGGCAGAGUAUCCCAUCCUCAAAGUGUUGGAUAGUUUCCCAUUGAAUGGACAUAUGCACCGUAUCAAGAAGUUUGUUUCUUUAGAUUCACAUCCUUGGCUUGUAUCUCUACAGAAGGCACUUGAAUCAUUUAUCUCAGCACGGCCAAGGAUGAAUAAACUGGCCCAGAAUGCAUUUAUCUCUUGGGUCCGAGCAUACACAGCCCAUCGUGGAGAGCUGAAAAGAAUAUUUAUGGUGCAGAAACUUCACCUGGGGCAUGUUGCCAAAAGCUUUGCCUUGAAGCAACAACCAUCAUUGGUUGGAAAAUCAUUCCAAAAGCAACAAUCAAAUAAGAGGAAGAGGGACCAGAAGCAAAAGGGCCAGUCAAAAAAGAGGAAGAUAAAUGGUAAAACGUGAAUGCAAAACAUGUGAAAGCUAAUUAUGGGACGUGAGUAGAUGACGGAUAAAUGCUGAUAUCUGUUGCAAUGCAAAACAUGUAAAGCUAAUUAUGGGACGUGAUUAGACAACGGAUAAAUGCUGAUCUCUGUUGCAAACUAAGGGCAUGCUAACCAACACAGAUUUUGCGGACAUUUGCAGCUUUGAAAUGGUGACUUGGUAACUUGGAAUGGAGAAAUAGAAGAAUUGAGCAAUUUUGCAGCAUUUUGUGUGGUUCAUUUGCAAGUUGCAAUGGACUAAUAUGAAUCUUAUGGAUAUAUGUUAUUAAUGAUUAUUUUUUACUCGAAAUUGUACUAGGAUAAAAUACUAGCAACAUGUGUGUUGAGAACUAGUGAUUAUACAUGUGGAUUGCUUAUUACAGUUCUAAUUUCCUAGAACUAUGUCAUCAGUUUGGAAUGCACAAGAUUUUGUUAGGGCACCCAAUAUUUUGC